UACGUAGGGGGCAAGCGUUGUCCGGAUUUAUUGGGCGUAAAGAGCGUGUAGGCGGCCAUACAGGUCCGUUGUGAAAACUGGAGGCUUAACCUCCAGACGUCGAUGGAAACCGUAUGGCUAGAGUCCGGAAGAGGAGAGUGGAAUUCCUGGUGUAGCGGUGAAAUGCGCAGAUAUCAGGAAGAACACCCGUGGCGAAGGCGGCUCUCUGGGACGGUACUGACGCUGAGACGCGAAGGCGUGGGGAGCGAACAGG
rnacentral:rRNA from 1 species